rnacentral:tRNA from 1 species
AAUAUUUUAAAGUUUAUCAACUAUCUUAAUAUCUUCAAUAUUACACUUUAUUUAAGCUAUUAAAAUU